CGGGUUGUUUCUUAUGUCAUUCGAAAAAUUGAUAUACCUUAGUGAAAACUCUACACAUUCAGUCUGAUUCAAGUGUUCUGUAGGAGAACACAUAAGAAAAACAGUAAAUUCAAAAUUAAAAAAAUCCUUUGGCAUUCAAACAUUUCGGUUUUAGAUUAAGUGCAAAAAGUGGUUUUUAUACUUUUAUAAAAAAAAAAACAAGUCAAAAAUUGAGAUCAGAUUUGUUUAUCCCAUAUAAAUCAAGUAAUUUAAACAAAAACAAACAACCGCAUGCACGCACGCA